AUUGAACGCUGGCGGCAUGCCUUACACAUGCAAGUCGAACGGCAGCACGGGGGCAACCCUGGUGGCGAGUGGCGAACGGGUGAGUAAUAUAUCGGAACGUGCCCUAGAGUGAGGGAUAACGCAGCGAAAGUUACGCUAAUACCGCAUACGAUCUACGGAUGAAAGUGGGUGAUCGCAAGACCUCAUGCUCAUUGAGCGGCCGAUAUCUGAUUAGCUAGUUGGUGGGGUAGAGGCCUACCAAGGCGACGAUCAGUAGCUGGUCUGAGAGGACGAUCAGCCACACUGGAACUGAGACACGGUCCAGACUCCUACGGGAGGCAGCAGUGGGGAAUUUUGGACAAUGGGGGCAACCCUGAUCCAGCAAUGCCGCGUGAGUGAAGAAGGCCUUCGGGUUGUAAAGCUCUUUUGUCAGGGAAGAAACGGUGAGUGCUAAUAUCGCUUGCUAAUGACGGUACCUGAAGAAUAAGCACCGGCUAACUACGUGCCAGCCGCCGCAGUAA
rnacentral:rRNA from 1 species